rnacentral:lncRNA from 1 species
CCCAACUUGGAAAGCGUCUCACUCUCCCAACGCGCGCUACUUCUCCAGCGGGCGCAGGGCUCAGGGGCACAUGCCGCCCCCGCCCUUGUGCGCUUGCGGCUCCCAGCUAGCAGUCCCCUGCACCGAGCUUUCGCCUGGCUUUCCGCGGGAGCCUUCCAGCGGAUUCUUGGCUGGCAAGGACGGGGGAGCGAGGGAGAGGGAAGUUAGGGCUGCCGAUUUCUCUCCCCACUCCAGCGGCGGCGGCGUUCAGUCCUCUGGGUGGGAUGUACUCCCAGCAGCUGCGGCAGCGGCAGCAGCGGAGGUGCCCGAGCCAUGCACCCCGUAGCCGGGGACAAGGGAAUGGCCAGGAAAAAAAGACCGGGGUGAACCAGCCGGGUGAAGUCCCAGGGCCGCAGAGCUGCACGGGGAAUCUGUCCUGGAGAAGCCUUCUCCGCCUGCCUGGACACUUUAAGCAGUGGUGGCGGCAAACAGCGUGAGAUUGCAAACCGGACAGCGAGCCUCCCUGGUUCCGACGUUGCACUGACCUCUGGAGAUGACAAGUGAGCAAGAAGUGUCCGGCCGGGCCAUCCCCCUCAGUAUCCCAAAGUCUGGUUUCAAGACAGACCAAGAACCAGAUGUAUACAUUGGUGUGGAUAGGGAGAUCUCAAGAAGAAGCCCUCUAGUUCAAGCUGAAUGAGCAAGAAAGUCUACUGGCAGCAACAGUCAUGGCAGCCGGAAUCCACAAGCAUCUAAUGCACUAAGGAAGAGGAACUCUCUUCUCUGACCAGAGGAACUGUGGUCACAAGAAGGCGACAAGAACCCCUGUUGCUUUUUUUCCUCUGUGGCCCGUAGAUGAAAAUAGAUGGCCAUAGGGGGAAAUCUCUGAAAAGCUGGUACAAGUUUCGUUUUGGUCCUGAAGUUGGUUAUAGUUGCAGGAACUGUGUGACAGAGCAGGGUAAAUAAAAUCCCAGCUUUCCAGCACCAUGAAAGGGAGCCACAGGGAGCAGAUACUGAGAAAAGAGUGUAGAAGAGUGUAUAGAGGGAGGAGCUCGAGAAAGCAACAUCAUAAGCUUAUUUAUAAAUUCCUGGGCUCAUCCUGGAGUUGCACAUACAUGGAUCUGUUCCUUAAUAGCAAAUCAAAGACUUUGAUAACUGAACUGAGAGAUCCAGGUCCCAGACUGGCCAUUAGAUGUGGGACAAAUUUGCAUAGCUUGGCAAAUGUUUUGAAACAAGACUGCCACUGAAACCACAACUCAUAGAAAGCUGUCUGAAACUGAUGAAUCCAAUAAGUCACCUGGUUGCUAUACAAAAAUAUAGUGUCCAUAAGAUUUAAACAAGAAAUAUGUAUUUCUAUUUAAUAGCAAUAGCCAGUUAGAAUCAAAAUUUUUAAAGUAAUAUUUAUGAUAUCUCAAAAAGAAAUAUACAUUAAUUUAAUAAAACAGGUACUGGAUUUGUAUUCUGAAAACUAUAAAACACGAAUUAAAGAAAUCAAAGAAAACCUAAAUUAAUGGCAACAUGGCAACAUUCAAUGUUUUUUGGAUUGGAAGACACAAAAUAGUAAUGAUGUCAAUUUUCCUCAAAUCAAUCUACAGAUUCGAAGCAAGACUACAAUAAAAAAUCUCAGCAGAAUGUUUACUGGACAUGGACAAUCUAUAUUCUAAAAUUCAAUCAAGACUAUGAUAUU